ensembl:lncRNA
CAUGCAUGUUCAAUAGUUCAAAAGUUUAAUGUCUGUGUUGAAGGAGGAGCCACAAAGCCCAAGUCUGACCCUGAGGAGGCCACAGAGCUGCACCCGGUCAAAGAUUCGGGUGCAGACAGCCCUUUGGCCACCGGGGGCACUAACGGACAGUCAGCCUCUGCUCUCACAUGAAGAGCCCCUGAACACUGUAAAAAUGUCAAAUAUAAAACAAUAUAUGCUAAGACACAGAAGAACACGGCCUGUUCUCACUGCUGCGUGGUCCCACGCAGUUUCACACAAUUUUGUCAUAUUUAGCAGCUUGGAAAGAGAACAGCGCACGUAGUUUUCAAUAUAUUGGAUUCACGCUCUAGAAGUUGAUGAUGUCAUAGUUUCAGAUGAAGCAGGGGCCUCUGUAACUCUACGAGAGCUUCACCGUUUUUCAAAAAAAUCUCCAAACUUCUGCACCAUAAAUGUUGAACCAUCUCAUUAUUAGUUUGGGAUUGGUGCCACUUCCAGACGCUGUACCUGAUUUUUUUUGCGUUUUAAAAUCACGAAAAACAGAAGUAGUUCAUUUUAAACAGUUUGCAGUGGUCCAAAGUUAAUCCUCACUUACCUUAUGCAUUCAGAACAUCCUAAUUAUUCACCACAAUGAAUUUAUGAGCACUUUUCACAACUCUCAGAGACCAGAGUGGAGUUUUGCCAUCACUGUAGCACUAACAACUAGCAUGCUAACAGUGCAUUUCAUUACAAGACAGUCAAAGACAGUGCACAGUGGACGUGUUGUAACCUCCAGAGCUGCUUAUACAACACACGUGUCCUGGGCUGAGGCACAUUUUACUCAAACACGUGAGGAAAAAUCUGGUACAGCACCUUUAAGUCUGACAUAUUUUAUUUUUAUUUUGGGAUAUUUUUAUGGUAAAAUCACAAGAUCUUGUUUUAUAUCAUUAUUUAAGGAUUUUGCUGUGAGUUUUUAUAUAAAAUUGUCAAAAUUAUAUCAUGAGUAGUCUCUGAGUAAAUAUAAUAUUUUUUAUAUUUUUUUGGUUAAACAGGGGUAUUUUAUCAUCCAAGCAAUGUGUUUUUCAGGGACGUUCCUGUUUAUUUCAGCAAGAAAAUGCCAAGUCACAUUCUACACGUGUUACAGCUGUGUGGCUUCAUAGUAAAAGAGUGCAGUACUAGACUGGCCUGACUGCAGUCCAGACCUGUCUCCCACUGAAAAUGUGUGGUACAUUAUAAAGAGCAAAAUACGACAACGGAGACCCCAGACAGCUGAGCAACUGAAGUUGUACAUUCAGCAAGAAUGGGAAAGGAUUCCUCAUAUAAAGCUUCAACAAUGAGUGUCCUCAGUUCCCAAACUGAGAACAAAUGAUUGUUAUUAAAAGGAAAGGUGAAGUAACACAGUGGUAAACAUGCCCCUGUCCCAG